GGUUUGAUUAUGGCUCAGAUUGAACGCUGGCGGGAUGCUUUACACAUGCAAGUCGAACGGCAGCACGGACUUCGGUCUGGUGGCGAGUGGCGAACGGGUGAGUAAUGUAUCGGAACGUGCCUAGUAGCGGGGGAUAACUACGCGAAAGGUAGCUAAUACCGCACAUUGCCCUUCGGGGAAAGCGGGGGACCUUCGGGCCUCGCACUAUUAGAGCGGCCGAUAUCGGAUUAGCCAGUUGGUGGUAACGGCUCACCAAGGCGACGAUCCGUAGCUGGUUUGAGAGGACGACCAGCCACACUCGGGACCGGAGACACGGCCCAGACUCCUACGGGAGGCAGCAGUGGGGAAUUUUGACAAUGGGGAAACCCUGAUCCAGCCAUCCCAAGCGUGUGCGAUGAAGGCCUUCGGUUGUAAAGCACUUUUGGCAGGGGGAAGAAACGGCACGGGAUAAUACCCCGUGCAACCGACGGUACCUGCAGAACAAGCACCGGCUAACUACGCCAGCAGCCGCGGUAAUACGUAGGGGUGCAAGCGUUAAUCGGAAUUACUGGGCGUAAAGCGUGCGCAGGCGGUUCGAAAAAGAAAGAUGUGAAAUCCCAGAGCUUAACUUUGGAACUGCAUUUCUUUAACUACCGAGCUAGAGUGUGUCAGAGGAGGUGGAAUUCGCGUGUAGCAGCGGGAAUGCGUAGAUAUGCGGAGGAACACCGAUGGCGAAGGCAGCCUCCCUGGGAUAACACUGACGCUCAUGCACGAAAGCGUGGGGAGCAAACAGGAUUAGAUACCCCGGUAGUCCACGCCCUAAACGAUGUCAACUAGCUGCUGGGGCCUUCGGGCCUGGUAGCGCAGCUAACGCGGUGAAGUUGACCGCCUGGGGAGUACGGUCGCAAGAUUAAAACUCAAAGGAAUUGACGGGGACCGCACAAGCGGUGGAUGAUGCGGAUUAACUGAUGCAACGCGAAAAACCUUACCUACCCUUGACAUGUCUGGAAUCCCGAAGAGAUUUGUGAGUGCCGCAAGAGAACCGAACACAGCGUUUGGUGGCUGCCGGCCAGCUGGGCGGAGAUAAGAAGUAAGCCCAAUGAGUGCAACCCUGUCAUUAGUUACUACGAAAGGGCACUCUAUCGAGACUGCCGGUGACAAACCGGCGCAGGGAUGACGUCAAGUCCUCAUGGCCCCCAGGUAGGGCUUCACACGUCAUACAAUGGUCGGGACAGAGGUCGCUAACCCGGCGAGGGGAGCUAUCCCAGAAACCCGAUCGUAGUCCGGAUCGCAGUCUGCAACUCGACUGCGUGAAGUCGGAAUCGCUAGUAAUCGCGGAUCAGCAUGUCAUGUGAAUACGUUCCCGGGUCUUGUACACACCGCCCGUCACACCAUGGGAGUGGGUUUACCAGAAGUAGUUAGCCUAACCGUAAGGAGGGCGAUUACCACGGUAGGAUUCAUGACCGGGGUGAAGUCGUAACAAGGU
rnacentral:rRNA from 1 species